rnacentral:rRNA from 1 species
UACGUAGGGGGCAAGCGUUGUCCGGAAUUAUUGGGCGUAAAGAGCGCGUAGGCGGUCCGGUAAGUCGGUUGUGAAAGUCGGGGGCUCAACCCUCGGAUGCCGAUCGAUACUGUCGGGCUAGAGUCCGGAAGAGGCGAGUGGAAUUCCUGGUGUAGCGGUGAAAUGCGCAGAUAUCAGGAGGAACACCAAUGGCGAAGGCAGCUCGCUGGGACGGUACUGACGCUGAGGCGCGAAAGCCAGGGGAGCGAACGGG